rnacentral:ncRNA from 1 species
CUAUGGCAGGAAAUGUCAUGGCGGAAGGAG